CCUUGUCUCAACGCACGCAGAUGGCUGCAGGGGCGGCGCGGGCCCGGGCUCGGGCAGCCACCAUGGCGUCGAAUGCACCGGCGGGGGCCUCUUCCUCGUAGCAAGGCGUGGCCCUGCUCUUCCCCAGAGCGCUGAUGACAAGGCGGGCGGCGCCGCGAGCUCUCGUCCCGAGGAAGCCGCGGGAGGACGAGGUCAAGACGGACCAGGUCGACGUGCCCCCCUGCCACACCCCUUCUUCUCCUACGGGUUGGUUGCUGCUGUUGCUGGUGUCGGUCGUGUCCGAUUCGAUCGGCCUGUGGUUUCCUGUUGUUGCGGCAGGUUGCAAGAUUUGUUGGAACCAAUUUUGAGAAGACUGAAUCUACCACGUAUCCAAAUGGAGCGGUUGCAAUCGUUAUAUACCUGGAAUGAUGCUUUUAUAUGUCUGAAUUUUCACAAGUAUUUCUAAACUUGGCCCUAGCGAAGUGGCAAGUGUACUGCAGUAGUUAGCCUACUACUUCAGUUAUAUGCACCUGUGAUGAAUUGGCCCGUGGAUAAGAAUAUUCCAGUCACUGGAGAGAUUGUUGAACAUGUGACAUUGAUGCAAAUCUCUGGCCACCUACGGGUGAAACUGCUUGAAGACCAAGUUUGAAUAUGUACGAGGGCAGUGAAGUUCGGCAUGCGAGUUUACUUGCAGUCUCUAACCCUAAUGUAAUCAGUCCCAAUAGUGAGGGGAAGGCGCUGCCAACGAGGAUGUGGAGGAGAACAAGGUCGAGACGGAUCGGUGAAGGGUGUUGAGGCUGGCUCGCUGGCCGCAGCCUCUCUCCUCCUCGUCUUCGACAGUGUGACGAAGAUUGAUGUUGAAAUGGACGCAUGCUGCAUGAGAAGCAGAGGCGUCUUGUGAGCCUUGGGUUCUUCAUCGAUCUGUUUGUGCGUGCUCUUGGUCGCAUGCACGCCUAAGCAAUCAACUGUUCACCAACCUGUCUAUUGUAUGCAUUAUGGUUGAGGAAAGCUUGAAAUACAAUAGUGGCAAACAUCUCCAUUGACGCUACAAAGCAUCUUGAUGAUUUUGAAGAUAGAUGGAUGGGAGGUGGGACACGAUUUUGUGCUCCUCCCCCCUCGAAAGGUGACGAGCUUCCAUCUCUAAUAUCUUUUGGCGGUACUUGUUAGUGGAAAAUCUAUGGGGAACUUGUGUGUUAACGGCGCUAGCAGUGAGGAUUUCUUUUGAGCUUCUUCACUUCCCCUUAAUAAUCGGACCUUCCUGCUAUGCACAAUGAAUUUUGAUAUUUUGAUUAUGCAAGCAUUGUUGUUUCUAGUGGCUGUAAGGAUUUCCUUUGGGCAUAUUUUUUUCUAGCUUAAUUAGUCAGGAUCAUUGAUUUUAUAAACAAUAUUCAGACUGUUCCUUGUAUUAGCAAAAAUCAGAUAAGAAUUGAAUUAUUGUACUUAAAGACAACCCGAAUGUCUUAUGCCAUGCAAAAGCAGAUGCUCUACAUUUCCUUUCACCUCCUGUUUGGCCAAAGCAGCUGCCUAUUAUGGUCUUUUGAUGCUGUACUGGUUGUGUAAAGAGUUGUUUGUUACAUGCUGAUCAAAGUGGGAACAGAGCCAGAAAGCCGUCG